rnacentral:rRNA from 1 species
AUUGAACGCUGGCGACAGGCUUAACACAUGCAAGUCGAGCGGAGCGAGGGUGCUUGCACCUUAGCUUAGCGGCGGACGGGUGAGUAAUGCUUAGGAAUCUGCCUAUUAGUGGGGGACAACAUUCCGAAAGGAAUGCUAAUACCGCAUACGCCCCACGGGGGAAAGCAGGGGAUCUUCGGACCUUGCGCUAAUAGAUGAGCCUAAGUCGGAUUAGCUAGUUGGUGGGGUAAAGGCCUACCAAGGCGACGAUCUGUAGCGGGUCUGAGAGGAUGAUCCGCCACACUGGGACUGAGACACGGCCCAGACUCCUACGGGAGGCAGCAGUGGGGAAUAUUGGACAAUGGGCGGAAGCCUGAUCCAGCCAUGCCGCGUGUGUGAAGAAGGCCUUUUGGUUGUAAAGCACUUUAAGCGAGGAGGAGGCUACUUAGAUUAAUACUCUGGGAUAGUGGACGUUACUCGCAGAAUAAGCACCGGCUAACUCUGUGCCAGCCGCCGCCGUAAGAC